rnacentral:rRNA from 1 species
CUACGGGGGGCUGCAGUGGGGAAUAUUGCACAAUGGGCGCAAGCCUGAUGCAGCCAUGCCGCGUGUAUGAAGAAGGCCUUCGGGUUGUAAAGUACUUUCAGCGGGGAGGAAGGGAGUAAAGUUAAUACCUUUGCUCAUUGACGUUACCCGCAGAAGAAGCACCGGCUAACUCCGUGCCAGCAGCCGCGGGUAAUACGGAGGGUGCAAGCGUUAAUCGGAAUUACUGGGCGUAAAGCGCACGCAGGCGGUUUGUUAAGUCAGAUGUGAAAUCCCCGGGCUCAACCUGGGAACUGCAUCUGAUACUGGCAAGCUUGAGUAUCGUAGAGGGGGGUAGAAUUCCAGGUGUAGCGGUGAAAUGCGUAGAGACCUGGAGGAAUACCGGUGGCGAAGGCGGCCCCCUGGACGAAGACUGACGCUCAGGUGCGAAAGCGUGGGGAGCAAACAGGAUUAGAUACCCCUGUAGUC